ensembl:lncRNA
CUGUGCUGUAGUUGUUCCUUAUUUCUAAUAGUUUUCAGGUGGAUUCGUUAGGUUUUCUAUAAUGGGAUCAUGCCAUCUGCAAACAGAGAGAGUUUCUCUUCUUCUUUUCCUAUUUGGAUACCUUUUAUUUCUUUUUCUUGCCUAAUUGCUCUGGCCCAAACCUCCAGUUCUAUGUUGAAAAGGAGUGGUGAGAGUGGGCACCCUUGUCUUGUUCCUCUUCUCAAGGGAUGGCUUUCAGUUUUUAACCAUUAAGUUUGAUGUUGGCUGUGGGUUUGUCACAUAAGACCUUUAUUGUGUUGAGGUACUUUCCUUCUAUACCCAUUUUAUUGAGAAUUUGUAUUGUAAAUGGAUGUUGGAUUUUGUCAAACGCUUUCUCUGCAUUUAUUGAGAUUAUCAUGUGACUUUUAUUCCUCUUUUUGUUAAUAUGGUGUGAUUGAUUUGCAGAUGUUGAAUCAUCCCUGCGUCCCUGGUAUAAAUCCCACUUGAUCCUGGUGUAUGACUCUUUUCACGUAUUGCUGUAUUUGGUCUGGCAAUAUUUUGUGGAGGAUUUUAGAAUCUACGUUCAUCAGUGAUAUUGGCCCAUAAUUUUCCUUCUUUGUGUUGUCCUUGUCUGAUUUUGGUAUCAGGGUAAUGUUGGCCUCAUAGAAUGAGUUGGGAAGUGCUCCAUCUUCUUCAAAUAUUUGGAAUUGUUUGAGAAUGGUAGGUAUUAAAUCUUUGAAUAUUUGGUAGAAUUCUCCAGAGAAGCCAUCUGAUCCUGGACUUUUGUUUUUUGAGAGGUUUUUGAUUACUGUUUCAAUCUCUUUACUUGUGAUUACUCUAUUCAGAUUCUCUAUUUCUUAUUGAUCCAGUUUUGGGAGGUUGUAUGAGUCUAAGAAUUUAUUCAUUUCUUCUAGAUUAUCCAAUUUGUUGACAUAUAGUUUUUCAUGGUAUUCUCCUAUAAUCCUUUCCAUUUCUGUAAUAUCCAUUGUAAUUUCUUCUCUUUCAUUUCUAAUUUUAUUUAUUUGAGACUUCUCUCUUUUCCUUAAUGAGUCUGGCUGAGGGCUUGUCAAUUUUGUUUAUCUUCUCAAAGAACCAGUUCUUAGUUUUAUUAAUUCUUUCUACGGUUUUUUUUUUUUUUUGGUCUCUAUUUCAUCUAUUUCUGCUGUAAUUUUUGUUUCUUCCCUCCUUCUGUUGACUUUGUACUUUGUUACUGGGAUUGUAAUCUCCUGUAACUUCAAGUUUGAUUUCUAGAGGGUUGUUAUUCUCUUUCUCUUCUUCCGUGUUACUUAGUUCUUCAUGGUAACUGAUUCUUUGCUGGCACAUUUGUGGUAGUAACCACAUUUCCUAUUGGGUAUGGGUUUGGUUACUUUGGUUCUGAGUUGCUUUUGUUUGUAUUUGAUACCCUGCACUUUCCACCCUCUACUACCUCUGCUGGUGGUGUAGUCAGUGCCCUCCUUGUGCUACUUUAGCCUCUGAGGUUGCUAGUGACUUGCUGCUUAUGAUGUCAGUGCAGUCUCAGGUGUCACCAGUGGGGUCACCAGGCUUCAUACACUUCUGCUGCUUCUGGGGUCUCCUGGGUGUCAUGCUUCUCCACUGCUUCUCCUUGGGCUCUCCAUGGGAGAGGAUACUGCUGCAUUAUAUACCAUCUACACUGCUGCUCCAAGAUGAUAUCAAGCAAGUCCAUGUAAGCAGAUAGAAAUCACUCAUCUGUGGUCAUGUUUGUUCUUCUGGGACUCUAAGAUGAAAAAGAGGUGCAGCUUGUCCUCUUCCCAAUCUUUCUAGGUAUCUAUCUUGUGACCCUAAUCUGGAAUCUGGGUGUCAUCAUCCUAAUCAAGAUGGACUCACACCUGCACGCACCUAUGUACAUUUUCUCAGUUUCCUGUCAUUUAUAGACAUUUG